rnacentral:rRNA from 1 species
UACGUAGGGUGCAAGCGUUAAUCGGAAUUACUGGGCGUAAAGCGUGCGCAGGCGGCUUUGCAAGACAGAUGUGAAAUCCCCGGGCUUAACCUGGGAACUGCAUUUGUGACUGCAUGGCUAGAGUGCGGCAGAGGGGGAUGGAAUUCCGCGUGUAGCAGUGAAAUGCGUAGAUAUGCGGAGGAACACCGAUGGCGAAGGCGAUCCCCUGGGCCUGCACUGACGCUCAUGCACGAAAGCGUGGGGAGCAAACAGG